CAGUGCUGGGGAUCAAAGUCAAAGUCUUCUGCAAGGUCUCUAACACUGAGCCACAGCCUGUCCAUCAUAGUGGAUCAAGGACCCAGCAGAAUCAUUUUCCACUGAGUGGAUAUGAUGAGAUUCUGAGUGAGACACAGAAGAGAAGGAAAUGAACACAUCAGCGAGGUGCCCGUAAGAAGUGUCAACUCUGCCUUUGAAGAGGACAUCCUGAGAUGAGGCCUUGGUAGGGGAGGGGAGACUCUGAAAUGCAAAUCCCCUUGAGAGUCUGUGCAGGAGAGCUUACAGAGCCGCUGAGUGGGCGCAAGAACGUGAGCUGGGUGCGCUGCUCCAGGUGCCCUGUGCCUGUCUCACCACACGGUGACUUUGCUCAUGUUGUACCAGUCAAUCAGGAAGUGGGCACACUGGACACACUCAGCUACUUGUCUCCUUAUUGACACUAACAUCUUAAAGGAACAAGAGUUUUAUUUUGGCCCAUAGCUGGAGGUGUGUCCAACCUGUAAUCCACGGGCCGCAUGCAGCCACGUAUGGGUCAGGAUAGCUGUGAAUGCAGCCUAACACAGAUUCCUAAACCUACUCUUCAAAAGCUGGAUGAGGGCAGGUGAGAUGGCUCAGUGGGUAAAGACGCUAUGCACCAAGCUUAGGAGCUGAGCUGGGAUCCCGGAACCUAAGCGGUAGAGAGAGAGAACUGGUCCUUUCAAGCUGUCUUCUGGCUUCCAUACAUGUGCCACAGUAUGUGCACACACACACACACACACACACACACACACACACACACACACGCGCGCGCGCACACACACUAAAUACUUAAAUAAUAAAUAAAUACGUGUGAAAAUGUAAAUAGCUUGAUGUAGCAGCAUGAGCUUAUUGUAGCCCAGCUGGGAAGGCAGAGACAGGCAGAUCCGGGGGCUCAUUCACCAUCCUAGCUUAAUCAGGGAGCUCCAGAUCCCAGUCUCAAAAUAUAAGGUGGAUAAGCCAGGUAGUGGUGGUGCACACCUCUGAUCCCAGCACUCCAGAGACAGUGACAGGCGGAUCUCUGUGAGUUCGAGGCCAGCCUGGUCUAGAGUGAGUCCCAGGAAUGACUUCGAAGCUACACAGAUAAACCCUGUCUCAAUACCUGCCUCCCCAAAAGGUAGAUAAUGUUUGAGGUGUGAUUCCCAAGUUAUCCUCUGGCCUAUACACACACUUACACCCAUAUGUACAUAAGCUUUCUCAUAAACAUAUAUAUGACAAAUUUAAAAAUAGAAUAGAAAAUGCUAAAAUAAUAAAGCCGUUGAAAGUUUUUUGUUUUGCAA